GGUAGAGUGGCCGAGCGGUCUAAGGAGCUGGUUUUAGGCACCAGUCUCUUCGGAGGCGUGGGUUCGAAUCCCACCUCUGCCA
rfam:Lottia gigantea unplaced genomic scaffold LOTGIsca_3858, whole genome shotgun sequence.